rnacentral:rRNA from 1 species
AUUGAACGCUGGCGGCACGCUUAACACAUGCAAGUCGAGCGGUAACAUGACUAGUAGCAAUACUAGUUGAUGACGAGCGGCGGACGGGUGAGUAACACGUAGGAACCUGCCCAGUAGUGGGGGACAACCAAGGGAAACUUUGGCUAGUACCGCAUAACAGCGAGAGAGGAAAGCUGCCGCAAGGUGGCGCUAUUGGACAGGCCUGCGUACGAUUAGCUAGUUGGUGAGGUAAAGGCUCACCAAGGCGAGGAUCGGUAACUGGUCUGAGAGGACGACAAGUCACACUGGGACUGAGACACGGCCCAGACUCCUACGGGAGGCAGCAGUGGGGAAUCUUGGACAAUGGGGGCAACCCUGAUCCAGCGAUGCCGCGUGAGUGAAGAAGGCCUUCGGGUCGUAAAGCUCUUUAGGCUGGGAAGAAGGUUGGUUCUUUCAGAGAUAAUCAAUUUGACUGUACCAGCAGAAUAAGCACCGGCAAACUCUGUGCCAGCAGCCGCCGUAA